rnacentral:rRNA from 1 species
GACGAACGCUGGCGGCGUGCUUAACACAUGCAAGUCGAACGGUAAGGCCCUUCGGGGUACACGAGUGGCGAACGGGUGAGUAACACGUGGGUGAUCUGCCCUGCACUUCGGGAUAAGCCUGGGAAACUGGGUCUAAUACCGGUUAGGACCCUGGGAUGCAUGUCGUGGGGUGGGAAGCUUUUGCGGUGUGGGAUGGGCCCGCGGCCUAUCAGCUUGUUGGUGGGGUGAUGGCCUACCAAGGCGACGACGGGUAGCCGGCCUGAGAGGGUGACCGGCCACACUGGGACUGAGAUACGGCCCAGACUCCUACGGGAGGCAGCAGUGGGGAAUAUUGCACAAUGGGCGCAAGCCUGAUGCAGCGACGCCGCGUGAGGGAUGACGGCCUUCGGGUUGUAAACCUCUUUCAGCACCGACGAAGCGCAAGUGACGGUAGGUGCAGAAGAAGGACCGGCCAACUACGUGCCAGCAGCCGCCGUAA